rnacentral:rRNA from 1 species
AACGAACGCUGGCGGCACGUUUUAAGCAUGCAAGUCGAAUGGCAGUGGGGGCAACCCCAUGAGAAUGGCGAACGGGUGAGUAACACGUAGGUGAUCUGCCUGACGGAUGGGGAUAGCUUGUGGAAACACAGGGUAAUACCGAAUGAGCUGACGAGACUUUGGUUUUGUUAGUAAAGGUGCUACGGCACCGCCGACAGAGGAGCCUGCGGCUGAUUAGCUAGUUGGUGGGGUAAAGGCCUACCAAGGCGACGAUCAGUAGCCGGCCUGAGAGGGUGUACGGCCACACUGGAACUGAGACACGGUCCAGACUCCUACGGGAGGCAGCAGCUAAGAAUCUUCCGCAAUGGGCGAAAGCCUGACGGAGCGAUGCUGCGUGAUCGAUGAAGGUCGAGAGAUUGUAAAGAUCUUUUCUACAUGAGGAAUAAGUCUGGGAGGGAAUGUCUGGAUGAUGACGUUAGUGUAGGAAUAAGCCCCGGCUAAUUACGUGCCAGCCGCCGCCGUAA